AGCCCUCGCCGUAGGUAGCCUUCCAGAGUGUGUAUUUCCCAACCAUUCUUAUGCGGUAGAAAGGGAGCAGGCACUGGAGACUAACCAAUCAUAUUUCGCAAUGCUAUCAUUCUCUCUCCUGACUGGUUGAAAGUUAGAGGCGUACGCGCUAUUGAGGUGCUUUCACAGAAGGACGUACUCGUAUGCCCCGCUCUCUCCCCUGAAAUCAAGAUCGGUAGCGUUAUUGUACUGUGGAAUAGAUAGCGCGUUAUGUGGUGAAGCUCUGUCUUUACAAUAGGGAACAGGUCAGUUGGGACCCUUUUACGUGUAUCAGGACUUCAAGACAGUCAUCAUGAAGGCCGUCAUCGUCGUGUUUCUCCUGGUCAUUUUCUGUGCUGUCAUCGACGCUACAGUCCACAAGAUCCACCUCGGCGUUAGGGACGCAAGCCCAGAUUACUUCUCUCCUAAGAUUUCUUCAGAAGAUUACUUGACUCCUCAUUCCCGUGUCCGGAGGUUCUGCAUGGGUCUACUUCUUGGAAUUGACUGCUGAAGACCGCCUGAAUGUCGCCAUCCAAGAAGUCAAUAAAAAGAUGCCUCCUCUUAUCUGUUGAACAGGAAUAACCACGAGGCACAAAGCACGA